rnacentral:rRNA from 1 species
GGACGGGUGAGUAACGCGUGGGUAACCUGCCUUAUACAGGGGGAUAACAGUCAGAAAUGGCUGCUAAUACCGCAUAAGCGCACAGAGCUGCAUGGCUCAGUGUGAAAAACUCCGGUGGUAUAAGAUGGACCCGCGUUGGAUUAGCUAGUUGGUGGGGUAACGGCCCACCAAGGCGACGAUCCAUAGCCGGCCUGAGAGGGUGAACGGUCACAUUGGGACUGAGACACGGCCCAGACUCCUACGGGAGGCAGCAUG